rnacentral:rRNA from 1 species
GACGAACGCUGGCGGCGUGCUUAACACAUGCAAGUCGAACGGAAAGGCCCUGCUUGUGUGGGGUGCUCGAGUGGCGAACGGGUGAGUAACACGUGAGUAACCUGCCCCUGACUUUGGGAUAACUUCAGGAAACUGGGGCUAAUACCGGAUAGGAGCUCCUGCUGCAUGGUGGGGGUUGGAAAGCUUCGGCGGUUGGGGCUGGACUCGCGGCGUAUCAGCUUGUUGGUGGGGUAGUGGCUUACCAAGGCUUUGACGUGUAGCCGGAGUGAGAGGGGGAACGGCCGCACUGGGAGGGAGCCACGGCCCAUGGGACUGCGGGAGGCACCAGUGGGGUACUGUAGACAGUGGGGGGAAGUCUUGCACAACAAGGGCGAGUGUAGGGAGGAGACGUUGGGUGUGGGAUCUGGGCUUGUACGUAACAAACCGCUUCUGGCUAAGACGAAGGGUUAGUGACGGUAAUGGAUAAAGAAGCACCGGCUAACUACGUG